AUGAAACACUCCUACGGGAGGCAGCAGUGGUGAAUUUUGGACAAUGGGCGCAAGCCUGAUCCAGCAAUGCCGCGUGAGUGAAGAAGGCCUUCGGGUUGUAAAGCUCUUUUGUCAGGGAAGAAACGGUUCCGGCUAAUAUCUGGAGCUAAUGACGGUACCUGAAGAAUAAGCACCGGCUAACUACGUGCCAGCAGCCGCGGUAAUACGUAGGGUGCAAGCGUUAAUCGGGAUUACUGGGCGUAAAGCGUGCGCAGGCGGUUUUGUAAGUCUGACGUGAAAGCCCCGGGCUCAACCUGGGAAUUGCGUUGGAGACUGCAAGGCUUGAAUCUGGCAGAGGGGGGUAGAAUUCCACGUGUAGCAGUGAAAUGCGUAGAGAUGUGGAGGAACACCGAUGGCGAAGGCAGCCCCCUGGGUCAAGAUUGACGCUCAUGCACGAAAGCGUGGGGAGCAAACAGGAUUAGAAACCCGAGUAGUCCGAAGUUC
rnacentral:rRNA from 1 species